rnacentral:rRNA from 1 species
GACGAACGCUGGCGGCGUGCUUAACACAUGCAAGUCGAACGGAAAGGCCCUGCUUGCCGGGUACUCGAGUGGCGAACGGGUGAGUAACACGUGGGUUAUCUGCCCUGCACUUCGGGAUAAGCCUGGGAAACUGGGUCUAAUACCGGAUAGGAGCCAUUUUUAGUGUGAUGGUUGGAAAGUUUUUUCGGUGUAGGAUGAGCUCGCGGCCUAUCAGCUUGUUGGUGGGGUAAUGGCCUACCAAGGCGGCGACGGGUAGCCGGCCUGAGAGGGUGGACAGCCACACUGGACUGAGAUACGGCCCAGACUCCUACGGGAGGCAGCAGGGGGGAAUAUUGCACAAGGGGCGCAAGCCUGAUGCAGCGACGCCGCGGGGGGGAUGACGGCCUUCGGGUUGCAAACUCCUUUCGCUAGGGACGAAGCUUUUUGUGACGGUACCUAGAUAAGAAGCACCGGCUAACUACGUG